AGAGAACCGAUUAUACAUAAAGUUACAAAAUCAAAUCAAUCAAUCAAAUCCAUUAUAUCAAUGAAUCUAUGGUCCCUUUCAAUAUCAUGAAGCUUUGAUUUACGAUAGUACUAGUAUCGAUGUUGAAGAAGUUCUUUUAAAGACUAGUAGUGGUGGCAGUUAGUGAGGAAGACAAGAGUAUUCUUGACAGUCCAUUGGUGGUUCUUGGAAAGGCUCUUGCGGUAGAUGAAGGAAAUAGCAAUGACAGUGACAGCAGCGGCAGUGACUUACAUACUAGUAGUCAGUAGAUUCAUCAAAUCAUACCUUUGCUUGACAAUAUCCUUUCAAUCCCAUAUUGAUACAGAAUCAGCGUUUCCACCCAGUUUUUGUAUGAGCCUUUUCAUCAUUUGGUCCUGCUUUCCAUGUGUUCCAUCAUCAUUCCCAUCAAGAUGU
rnacentral:sRNA from 1 species